CAGCAGCCGCGGUAAUACGUAGAGCGCAAGCGUUAUCCGGAAUUAUUGGGCGUAAAGAGCUCGUAGGCGGUUUGUCGCGUCUGCCGUGAAAGUCCGGGGCUCAACCCCGGAUCUGCGGUGGGUACGGGCAGACUAGAGUGAUGUAGGGGAGACUGGAAUUCCUGGUGUAGCGGUGAAAUGCGCAGAUAUCAGGAGGAACACCGAUGGCGAAGGCAGGUCUCUGGGCAUUAACUGACGCUGAGGAGCGAAAGCAUGGGGAGCGAACAGGAUUAGAUACCCCCGUAGUCCCUGUCUCUUAUAC
rnacentral:rRNA from 1 species